CCUUGUUUUUAUGUUAUAUGUGUGGUUUUGAGAAAUCUUUGGCAUGAUGAUAUGGUAAUGUGGUAAUAAUAUAACUACUGUUUUCAACUCAGCUUAGCGUAUGCAUUACAUUACAUAAUUUAUCUAACCUGGUAGUGUUACUACUGGGUCAUCUUUAAGAUGUGUUGAUUUCGAGAAAUCUUUGUCAUAAUAAUAAUAUCCCCGGUGGCUCAUGACACUCGCCACACUUGUUUUGUGUUGAUAACAAUUCAUGUCCCCCUCAGUUUUUAUAAAACCAGCAACUUUGAAUUGAGAUGGUAAAAACUACUUUAGCUAAGUGGAAGCAUUACAUUAAUUUCGCUAUACGUACCGGGUAAUAAAUGUUAAUACUGAACCAUCUGUGAAUCUCCAUGAUCAUGAUAUGUGGCUUGGUGGGUCUAGACAAGCAUCAUAUGGGCUCAUCUAACUGCCGUGGCGAGAGUAUCGACUAGAGCUUUUACAAGAUAGAACUGCGCUUCCCAAAGUGUUACCAUAUAAGAUGUAAAGGAUACUUUCUAUUGAUCACUGUAUAUCUAUCUUAUUAAAACAGAAACAUUCUGUUGGACCUAACAUUUAUUUUGUAAGUUUUUAAAUUAAAUACACUUUUAUAUUUUAUAGUUAAACAUACAUUAAAUCACUAAUGUUCCUUUCUAUAUACUACUAUCCAUGUUUCCAAACAAUAUACUUAUUUCUUUAUAUUACUAUCAAUGUUUCCAAACAAUAUAUUUUUUAUACUAUUAUCAAUGUUUCCAAAUAAUACAAUAAUUAAUCUUAGUUAUUUUAUAUCUAUCAUUUUCUCUUUAAAUUUUUGUAGAAACGUCAUAAUUUCAUAAAUUGCAAAAUAGUGAACUUUAAAAUUUCGAUUAUAAGAUUACAAAUUAUGAAACUAUUACAAUUUAAAUCCAAUUAGAUUACAUAUCGGUCAUCCAUCAGUUCAAUCGGUUAGUCUCGGGUUUUAGUGAUUUUUUAAUAUGAAUAUUUUAAAAACAUAAAUUGAAUUGUCAGAUCUCCGGAUUAACCGGUAUAAUCACAAUCGGGUUGAAUUUAAAAAUACUGAUUUAAAUGCAAAAAUAUUUUAAAUACACACUCUUUAAAAAUAACCAAAAUAUUUGUUAAAUUAUUAGUGAAAUUUUUCAUCUUAAAAUAUUCCGCGCUUCAAAAGCGCGGGUCAAAAUCUAGUACAUAUUUAUACAUUGUACAAGAGAUAUUAUAGGAGGUAAUCAAGGAUGAUUGAUACACAAGAAUAGCAAAAAUAUAUGAUAUGAUCUUCUUUCCUUAAUAUUACCUUCUCUCAGGUUCUAAUUGGUGUUAGUCCUGUAGAGGGGUUUGACAAGAUCAAGCAAACUUAUGGGAGAAAACUUAAAGAUGCUCAUAUGAGUGGUGAUGAAGCCACUGCCCCUCUCUUUCUUUGGAGUCCUCUCUGUGAUGCUUUUUUUUUUUUAACAAGUCUCUGUUUUUUUCUCUCUUUUUGAUAGCUUGAGAAAGCAUAUGAGAAGCUCAUGUAUUCCCAGUUAAUAAAUAGGUAAAUGGGUGUGACUUUCGGUUCCUUUAAGGUUUCCAAGGACAUUAGAUAUGCUGAUAAACAGCCCAUUAUACCAUGGGGUCCUAGGUAUUCCAAGUCUUCUAGAAACGAUAUGUUGAUCAACCUAGCAAUAUCAGCUGUGUUUAGCGCAUGGAUUGUCAUAAAACGUACUGUUGAAUACAAAAACCGCUGCAGUUCACGUCUUUUGUAUUUGUGUACAGAAUCUUUGAGAAAUUAAAAUCCUUUGAAGCACCUUCAUCUCCAACAUAUAACGAGGAGGGUGAAGAAAAUGGACGGGGAUUGAGAAUGGGAAAGAGGCUUCUUCGGUCUCUUUCGUUAGUUUUUGGCUCUAUACUUGUGGCAUCUUUGGUCUAUACUGGGAUCUUAAAUUUCAUUGAGUACAUGGGCAGCUCCAUACCCAUUACUCUUUACAAUAACCAGGAACUUAUAGUGACGGCCUCAUCAGCUUUGAUGCUCUAUGUUAUGGCGUCGUACUACAGAUAAUGCGAGAGAAGCCCACAAUGAACUUGAUCUAUCAGAAGUUUUGUAGAAGUUUUUUGCUGUAUGUGGCAUGUGUCUGUUAGAUGUUAACCAUUGAGAUGUUUUUUUUUCUUAGACGAACCAGCACACUACUUUUGUCCAAAAAAAAUAAAGAAAUCAUAUAUGUAUUCGAGA